GAUCCACCUGUUUAACAUACUGUAGGCCUACACAAUGGAGCUAGAAGCAGAAGUUGCAAAACUUAAAGAAGAAAACGAAGAAUUGCGGAAGAAACAGGCAGAGAUGAUGGAAAUGCAGAAGAAUCGGGUUCAGGAGAUGAUGAACCUUCAACGAGGAGCUAAAAGACGAUGCUUGAGAAGGACCCAGACAGGUCCUUGGUAAAAGUGGGGUUCAGAAAUAAGUGCUUGGCUGUAACUAUGUUUCUGAUAGUAUGUUCCUGUACAUAGAGGGAACUUUUUUCCAUUGUACAUCAGAAGAGAAGAGUUAUCUUUUUUCUGUAACCUUUUCCUUCUGUAUUUCCAAAGUCUUCUCCCAUGUCGACAAUGUCAUGAAUAAAACUAGAGACAAAUACUUAUUUACUAUGCAGAUAUAUCUAUUAUCUGUAAGUAGACACUCUUAGUAUUAUGUGUGCUGCAGACAUUGAUCUGAUUAUUGAGUGUUUCCUCCGUUUCAGAAAGGUUGUCUUUGUUGACUUGACACAAACUUUGAUAAAGAAGGGAAGACUUUUGAGA